CUUUUUGCUAUUUCUUGGGCCACUCCUGUGGCAUAUGGAGGUUCCCAGGCUAGGGGUCGAAUUGGAGCUGCCGCUGCCGGCCUACAUCAUAGCCACAGCCACGCCAGAUCCGAGCCACGUGUGUAACCUACACCACAGCUCACAGCAACGCUGGAUCUUUAACCCACUGGGCAAGGGCAGGGACUGAACCCGCAACCUCAAGGUUCCUAGUCGGAUUCGUUCACCACUGCGCCACGACGGGAACUCCCAUCUGAGUGUUUUGACAGAGCCAAAUAAAGAGGAUUAUGAGGUGGGAAGCUUCAGGAGUUUCCUAAUUUUUUUUGGGGGGGGGUCUUUUUAGGGCCACACCUGCAGCAUAUGGAAGUUCCCAGGCUAGGGGUCGAAUCGGAGCUGCCGCUGCCGGCCUACAUCAUAGCCACAGCCACGCCAGAUCCGAGCUGUGUCUGCGACCUACUCCACAGCUCACGGCAACGCCAGAUCCUUAACCCACGGAGCGAGGCCAGGAUCAAAUCUGCAUCCUCAUGGAUACAAGUCAGGUUGGUUACUGUUGAGCCGUGAUGCGAACGGCCCUCCUAAUUCUCUUAAAUCUAAAGAUGGGGAGUGUCUGGCUCCUGUUGCAUGACCAAUGGGAUCCUUAAGCCCUAAGGGCUCACACCUGGUGAGGUCCUCUGAUCUUUGCUUCGGCCCCGCUCCACACCCCCAUGCUAAGGAGAAGAUGACCACGUGCCUGGUGCCACAGACACAGGCCCACGAGAUAACGGAUGAGCAGGGAACCUCCUUCCGGCACCAGGUACCGACAAGCCUGGUGAAAGACUGUUUCUAAGGGGAACAAACCUAUUUUCAAGCUUCUUCCUCUGUGACUCUUCCCAGCCUUAGCAGAAACCUGAUUUUCCUCUAGAUGCCUUCCCUUUCCCGGCCUUUUCAUGGACAGGCUCACCCUCCCUUCUUGUCCAUAACUCAGAGCAGGAGGGAGCAGGGAUGUUUUCCUCAAUUCCGGCAGGUACAUCCAGACCUCUGUCCAUUAUCUCAGCCCCUUUGUUUCUGCCUUUGAUUCCAAGCCACCCUCUCACAGCACUAUCUAAUCGGUUAAGCCCCACCCACUAUUUUAUUUGACAUUUUUCAGCCACUGACUUAUAAUUUUUCCUCCUACCCUAUCUGGCAUCAUCAUUACCUGCCAUUAUUUUAAAACUUCAACUUGCUCUAACUUAGCAUCCGCUGCUCUAAUGGUCAUCAUUAGAGGGGAUUCCAAUGUGCAACCAAGGUUGAGAAUGGCUGUUUGAGGCAUCAAGGUCAGCUCCAGCUCCUGGAUGCCAUCCUCUUCUCCCCAAUCACUGGUUUACUCCUGGCUUCACCGCCUUCGCAUCUAGCUGGAGCUCCAGGGUCACAUGUUUCAACCAGGUUGUUGUUCAGCGGCUAGUCUCCAAACCCGAGGAGGACUGUAAGUUGCUAGAUAGGGACAUUUAACUGUCCCGAUUUAGGCUUUCUUAGGCCACCUGAGUCCCCAGUGCCACUCAGUGAUCAUUCAAGCUGGUUCACAAUAUUUGUUUUCCACGGCGACUGAUCUAAACUGUGUCCACUCUCCUCAGAUCCCAAAUCCAUCUCAUCCCAUCUCCCCUGCCCCUCAGCACAGCUCUUGAAUCUCUGCUACGUGUGUGUACAUCUGAGUAGUUUUUACAAGUAGGAUCCGCUCAUAGGGCCUAUUCCUGCUUUAGUGAGAUUAUACUCACAAUUGCCUAUUCUUUUUAUACCUACUCCUUAAAUGUAGAUUUUCUACUUUUUCUCAUUCAUUCAACAAACAUUUAUUGAAAGCCCACUUUGGGCAAGGGCCAAUGCUAGAGGCCAGAGAUACUGAGAUGAGAUGACCAAGACACCCCCACGUCCAUCAGCUGGUCCAUGUCUGCCGCCAGCCCCUCUUCCCUCUCUCUUGCCACAGUAAAGGACUUGGGGCUUCCUCCCAUCAAAGGCAAGCCUCUCAGCCAGCUCAGGCUCCCAGCCUCAUCCACUUUUUCAGAGAUUCUCUUCAUCGAUUCUCCAACCUCUCCCCCAUCACCAUCCAAACAAGUUCCAGUACUUCUCAUCUUAAAAAACAAUCGACUAGAAAAUUACCAUUCGAAUAUCACAGUCAUAACUGCUAUAGGCAAGAUCCAUAACUGCUAUAGGCAAGAUCCAUCCAAGUGGCUGCUAAAAUCAGUGGGUGGAAGUUUAAAGAGAAACUGGAUAUUUGCAUAAUCUAAAAGUAUCUCAACUUACAAUAUCUAUUACUUACAAUGGGAAAAUAAUAACUUAAGAGAAAUCUGGCAAACAGCACUUUAACCAAGUGUUCAAGGCUGACAUUACAAAUACUAAGAAUAUAAACUGCUUGUACCCUUGAUAUGAUGAAUUGACAAAGCAUGUCACCUCUCUGGUCCUCUUGCCCAAAUGUGUAACUUCAAUUUAAUCAGAAACAGAACAUUGGACAAAUCCAAAUCAAAGGGCAUUCUUCAAAACUACUUGACCAUGACAUUUCAAGAGUUAAGGUCAUGAAAGGCAAGGAAAAGACCGAGGAACUGCUACAAGUAGGAGACUUAAAAACCAUGACCACUAAAUAUAAUGUAGGAAAACGGAUCCGAUGCUGGUACAUUGAAAUGUAAAUCUCGCAUAAUCAUGUCCUGGUUAUACUCUUAUUUUACUUAUUCUUCAACCAUUUAAAAAACAUUUUAAAAUUUUUGUGAGAAAAGUGGUGAAAUCUGUAGAGUCUGUAGUUUUUUUGGUAAUCUUGUACCAAUGGUAAUUUCUCACUUGAUGAGUGAACUAUGGUAUGUUUCAUAUCAACAUUUAGGGAAAGCUGGAUGGAGGGUAUGUGGCAACUCUGUAUUGGUUUUGCAACUGAUCUGCAAUUUAAAAAUUAUCUGAAAAUUAAAAGUUAAAAAAAAAAAUCUCCCUGGAGCCAUCCAGCUAGGGCCUUCCUUCUUUAUUUUCCUUCAGAGGCAAACUCCUUGAAAAGAUGUCCCUGUAUACUGCUGUACUCUUACACCUCCCAUUUGCUCUAAAUCACUUUGGAUUUUGUCAUCAGUGACAUCCAAGCUGGUGAAUUUAUGGGAUCUUUCCAAGAUUUCAUCAUACAUGACCUCUCAGGGCCUGUAACUCAGCUGGCUGCUCCUUCCCUCUUGAAACACUUUGGUUUCCAAGAUACAAACCUCUGGGUUUUUCUUCUACUGUUCUGGCUCCCCACUUCUUAUUGCAACGUCUCAUUGUUGACAUUCCUAGACUUCAGUCCUGGGCUCCUCUUCUCUUCCUUUUGCAUAUUCUCUCCCCAGGGAAUCUUAUUCAUACCUUGGCCUCCAAUACCAUCAAUAUAGGCCAGUGAUUCCUAAAUUUGUAUCUCUAUCCUGGACCUCUCUCUGCAGAACUCCAGGCCCAUAUGUCCACAUAGAUACUUAAUGUUGGCACUGAAAGUCUCAAAAUUAAAGUCUGGAUAUUCUCUCUGUAAUGUGCUCUUCCAUUAAUUUACCCAUCUCAUUACAGUACCAUCGCCCACUUCCAUCCACCCAGUUGCACCUGCUAGAAACUUUGGUGUCGUUUCAUGCACCCGUUUAAUCCCCACCCAUGAAAUCAAUCCUUCAUGGAGUCCAAAAUAUAUAUCUAGACAACUUCCUCUUCUUUUUUGUAUCGACACCACCUACUAUCAUCUUUUGCCCAGACUAUUGUAAUCACUUCCUAACUGGUCUCCCUAUAUCCCUGAUUGCAUUCUCCAGCCCAGUCUCCAAACACUAAACAGUGACCUUUUGAAAAUACUACCCCAAUUAUAUCAUUCGCCCAUUUAAAUUCUUUCCAUUGCCUCUGAUGCCACACAAGAAAAACUCCCAAAUGAUUAACAGGCCUACCACAAACUUCGUGACUGGGUCUCUGUCUCACCUCAUCCCUUGCUUCCUGUGUUAUGCCCGAAUUUGCUUCUGCUCAAUCCCUAAAAUACAGUAGGCUCUUUGCCAGUCUCAGAAUUUUGCAUCUGCGUCUUCCUGAAUCUUCUCCCCACAACUUACAAAAUUGUCAGUAGGACAAUUGGUAACACAUACUUUGGUAGCAAACAACGUCAAUAUCUAAGUAGCUUAUGCCUAAAAAGAUUUAUUUAUUGCUCACAUCUCAGUCGGCUGUAGGUCAGGGUGGCUCUUCAAGUACAGACUCAGGGGUGCAGGGUUCGUCUAAAGUGUGGCAUGCUCCUAUUCAACCUGUGACCUUUGUAGCUGCUGUGGGGAAAGAAGAGGGUGUGAUCGAUGAAGCAUGGGGCCAGCCCUGGAAAUGGUACACUUCAUCUCUGCCCACACCCCAUUGGCCAGAUCACAGUCACAUGACCCUAGCCUAACUGCAAAGGGAAAAAAUAUACUUUUCCUGUGUGUCCAGGAAGAGGAAACGAGACUGGUGAGCAUCAGGCCAGUCUCUGCCACAUCCUGGUUAAAACGUAUUCAUCUUUAAAGAAUCAGCUUAUACAAUACUUCCUUAUAAGGGCCUUCGACUUCCUCCAACCUAAGUUAGGUCCCCCUGAUAUAGUCUAUUGUGGCGCCUUGUACUUUUCUUUUACAGCAACAGUGGGAAGUUUACAUUCCUUAUAUGAUUAUUUGAUACUUAUUUUCAUUUCUAGACCAUAUGCUGUAUAAGAGUAAGGAUUAUAUCUGAUUUGCUCCCACUGUGCCUCUAGCAUCCAUCACAGUACUUGGUUCAUAACUGGUGUAGAAGAUGUUGAGUGAACAAAUGAACAGUUGCACACAGUCCUUCUCUAGCUCCAAACAGCAUGCUACUGGUGGAGGAGAAGGUCAAGUAGGCAGGCAGUCAUGGUUUAGUGGGAUGAAUGUUCCAGGCAGGUGAGUCCAGGAAGCUGAGGCAACUUGAAGUUGCUGCUGAGGCUUCUUUACUUCCUCUUUAAUGGCAACCUAAUUCAGGGGCCUGCAAGCUAGAGUCUGCAGGCCAAAUCUGAUUUCCCCUGCCUGUUUUUUUUUUUUUUUUAAUGGCACAAGAGCUGAGAAACAUUUUUAUUAUAUUUUUAAAUAUUUGAAAAGAAUUAAAAUAUAUCAUCACGUGAAAAUUAAAUUUCAAUGUCCAUUAAUAAAGUUUUAUUGGAACACAGCCAUAUCCACUAGUUUACUUAUUGUUUAUGACUGCCUUCAUGCUGCAAUAGGGGAGGGGAAUAGUUUUGAAAGAGACCACAUGGUCUGCAAAGCCUAAAUUAACUACUUACUAUGUGGCACUUUACGGAAAAAGUUUUCUUUCCUCCUGAUCUAAUCCAGGCUUAGCUUAAAAAUUCACUUCUGUGUGAAUUAUAUCUUAUUUUGUUUCUUUAACCCUCUCCUUUCCACAUUAUCUAUCCACUGCCAGAAAUUCCCAUAAGUUCUAUCUUUGGAACAGUGUUCUUGUUCUGCCAUCUUUAUCCUCCUCCCUUUAGUUCAUCUAACCACUGUAACAACUUCCAAGAGAAUAGCUUGAUAUUGUAGCCACUCUUUGAAAUAAAUAAAUAAAAUCUGCACUGCUUAGCACUGUAGUCAAGGUUUUCUGUUAUCUUAAUGAACUUUACCUUUUUUAGCCCUGUCUCUUACUUCCACUCAACCUUAAUCACUUAACCCACCCUUGCCUUCUCUAUGUCCAGGUCUAUGCUCACAGUUACCAUCUCUGUGUGAAAUAUUUGAUGCUGGUAUUUCUAUCUCACCUAUCCUUUAAGUUGGUUAUCUCAAAUCUCUUCUUGCCCUCAGAGCCUGCCCAGCUCCUCUACUGAGAAUAAUUAUUGCCAUUUGUGCAGUUCUCUAACAGUUUGUACGACUGGUUUUAUUUCAAAUUCUGCUUUACGGUUUCCUGUGUAUAUGCAGAUUGUCUGCUUCUCAUGUUCUAUUGAAAGCUGUUUAGGGGCAAGAAUUGUCUUCCAUUUUAUUAAUCUUUGUAGCCUUUGAUGCGUCUUGUACAAAUAGAAAUGUUUAUUCUUUGCAAAAGUCCUCAUGGAGAGCUGGGAAUGUGACUUUUUUUUUUUUUUUUUUUUUUUUUUGCUGUAUCUAUGAACUACCCGUACUUAAGCACGAACCCCACUUAACUUGUUUAGGGCUCACGAGGGCGAGUAACACCUCUUUAACACAUGCUGUCUUCCAAUCGGUCACAUACCUGCGGACUCACGCCUGGGACCCUCAGGUAAGUCUGCAAACACGUGCGUAAGAAGCGCUUUCCUCAAGCUCCUCCUCU
rnacentral:lncRNA from 1 species